UCCAACUCAGGUGCUUGCACGUUGGGUCCUGUGGUCACUUGAUGGAAGGCUGUGGACAUCCGGCAUCUCCUCCAUCCCCCGGAGCUCUGGCUCAGGAGGGAAAGUGAGAGAUCAUUGUCACUCGCUGGGCUUGCCUACGUUGGGGAGCUGACAGGAAUUGCUAUUGCAGAAUAAGCUGUUCAGCCGGAAGCCGUCCAGAAUAGCUGCUUGCAUGGACACUCUUCUGGUACAUAAGUGACUUUGCUGUAGCAUAAUUACUUCACUUUGGAAGGAUGCUAAUUACUUUGGAGUGUUUUUUAUUCCGGAAUAAAAACCUGCUGUCAUAACGUC